UGGUGACCAUAGCGGCGGUGACCCACCCGAUCCCAUCUCGAACUCGGCCGUGAAACCCGCCUGCGCCAAUGGUACUAACGCUCAAGCGUUGGAAGAGUAGGUCGUCGCCA
rnacentral:rRNA from 1 species